rnacentral:rRNA from 1 species
UACGAAGGGGGCUAGCGUUGUUCGGAAUUACUGGGCGUAAAGCGCACGUAGGCGGAUUGUUAAGUCAGAGGUGAAAUCCCGGAGCUCAACUCCAGAACUGCCUUUGAUACUGGCGAUCUCGAGUCCGGGAGAGGUGAGUGGAACUGCGAGUGUAGAGGUGAAAUUCGUAGAUAUUCGCAAGAACACCAGUGGCGAAGGCGGCUCACUGGCCCGGUACUGACGCUGAGGUGCGAAAGCGUGGGGAGCAAACAGG